CAACUGACAGUCAGCCAGUCUCCCCCACAGUAGUGACUUUAAGGAGAUUUCCAAAUAACUGCAUGGAUUGAACCCUACCCUGCAAUGUGUUUCACAGAAACUUCCCAACGGUCAUCUGCAAAAGGAGGGUUAAGGAUGACCACAGGAUGUGAGAAUCUGUCUUAGCUGCUUUGGGGUUGGCAUCAUUUGGGAAGUGAAUCAAAGCUGAAGGUUCUUAAUUCGGGAGGAAGAUGCUUCAGAAUCACAGAUUGUAAACUGGGUGAAAAUUAAUACUGGGAAGAAAUAUAUGCCAGAUAGUGGAAGAAAACAACUCGACUGAAGUAGUUUGGGAGAUUGGACAUACAGGUGGAGCAGUGGUUCUCAAUGGGGCAGGGGAUGGAGUAAUUCUUUACCUCCCCAGGAUCAUUGGGCCAUGUCUGGAGAUGUUUUUGGCUGUCACAAGUUGGGGGAAAAGGUGCUACUGGCGUCUGGUGAGCAGAGACCAAGGGUGCUAUUAAGCAUCUUGAUAACAUACAGGAUAGCCUCCCACAACAAAAAAGCUAUUUGGCCCUACAUGGCGUUAGUUCUGAAUGCAUAGGUAGGUAAGGGUAUAGCCAUGCUAAGGCGUUUGGUUCAAAUGUGGACCAAGGUGUUGAAUGUUAUGGAGUUCCAAGAGGAAAGGGUUAUGUGACUUGUCAGAUUUGGGACAGGCUUAAGUGAAGGAGGGAACAGCUGGUGGGUAGGCAGACUCUUGCUGAGGUGUUUUUGCGAUCUUGGUGGGUGUCCCAUCGGGGCAAGCCAGGGGUAGCCAGGACCUGGAAAAGAACAGAAAGAAAGUCUUGCCAGGCAAUGUGUCAAGUCUGGAGAAGAGUUAAGACAGUACCAUAGCAUCAAGCAGCAAAAUGGGAGUUUUAAUGACCCUAGAAAGAUGGGAAAAAGUGGAUAAAUAUGGUGGGCCUGGGUAGGUAAAUAUGGAAGAGAGUCUGGGAAGACAUGGAUGGCAAAAAUAACAGAAGCCAGCAGGUAGAACAAUGAUUCUCAAACAUGCUUGCACAUUAGAAUCACUUAGGGAAUUAAAAAAAGUCCUGCUGUGGGGGCCCCACCUCAGGCUGAUUCACUCUGUGCGUGAGGGAGGGUUUGGGACUUCGAUUAUGUUUAUCGAUGUUCCCCAGAUGUUUCUCAUGGGCACUGAGGGUUGAGAGCUGCUGUCUUAAUAGGCCAAUAAAGUCAAGGAGGAAUAAGCAGGUGAUUAGAACAGGGCUGAGAUAAGCUGCCAUCUGAGACUAGGGACCGCUUGUCCUGUCCUAGAGUUUUGCUGCCUGUCUUUCUUUUGCAGGAGUGUGUGUGGGUUGCAGCCAGCUGGCGUCUGUGCCAGGAGCUUGAGGCUGGGUUUUGCUUACAAUCUGAUGAUAGGGACGCAGAGCUGGGCAGGCAGGGGCUCACUGCUUACUAGUGACCAAUGAAUGACCUUUGGGCUUAAACUUCCAGAAAGACCUCAAAUGACCUUCUGACGAAAAGGAAUCACUUGGGAGGAAAAAUAAUGUUAAGUUGCAUGGGCAGUUAAAAAUGAGUUCAUAUCUUCUAUGUAUAGGAAAGAAAAGUAUGACAUUAUAAGAGAAGAAAUGAAAAGCUGUCAAACUGUGGUUAUCUUGGGGAAAGUGCAUCAUUUUCUCUACAGGUAGCAGAUAAAAGCAGCCUGUUUUCUCACCUUGGUUCCCCAAGGAAGGAUGAUGAACUGGCCAGAAGGGUGCCUCUCAGGGCCUCCUUUUCAGAGGGGCAUCCCUUAUCUGCCCUUUCCAGCUAGGAAACAUUCCAGAGAAAACAUUCCUUUCUAGCAGAAAGGGAGUGUGCGUGAAAGCAUUCUUUGUCUGCCAGGGACAUUUUCAAAGGGGUUGAGUAAGUGACUGGUGGUGGGAAUCUGCUCUGAUUUCAUUUGUCUCUGGCAGGGCCUGGUGGCAAUUCAAUAUUCUUUAUUAUUAUUUUACAUGCAACUUCCUUCCUAGCUUAUGAUUCCUGUCAGGACUGUGUAUUGUUACCCAUUAGUCAUUUUUCUUGGGUUGGUCUAUGAUGCUUCAAACGGAGGGCUGGCCUGUUUCAAUAAUUUUGCUUACAAUUCGGUUUGCGUUCUCAUUCUCUAGAAUCCCCAUUUAGUUUCACCCGCACAGCACCAGUGCAGCAGCUGGGUCCCCAGCAAACGAUUAUUUACACACAUUAGCAGCUAAAAGGUAAGCACCAGUGACCUGAGCUGGCCUGACACUUCCCCAGCGCCUCGCCAGACAUUUUUGGAAGUAAACUCUGCCUUCCUAUUUGUAACUCUGUCAGUGACAGUACUCUGAGAAUGACUUAGAAAAAUUGUUGGUCUCCAGGCAAACUUUAAACUAAAACGCUUUGUGGGAAAGCAUUGAAGGGUAAUCCGAGAACAUGUUCUAUCCUACUUCAGGGCCAGGUAAGAAUAUCGCCCCCUCAUUACAUGUAUCUUUAUUAUUGGAUAAGUGGCAGGGAAUCGGCUUCUCAACUGGUCAAUGGUGGCCCGAAGGCAGGUAAUCUAUUAACAUCAUUGUGACUGAGACCGAGAGACUCACAUUCUCCAAACAGCUGACUUUCCACAAUCAUGACUUGAGAAAGGUGUGGUGUGAGGCUUGUGGGAAACUCACAUUUCUUUUCAUCAUUUUCUUGGCUUACGUUUACAUUCUUGAACUGUGGUCUUGGCCUGUGUGGUAAGCUGAAAGUCCUCCCUGCCUUUCCUCAGUGAUUUCUCCCUCCUAAUUCCUGGAAACUGUAAUUGUGAAAAAGGUGUCUUUGCAGAUGUUGACUGAGUUAAGUAUUUGGAGAUGAGAUUACCUUGGGUUAUGCAAGAGGUCCCUAAAGGCCAUUACAGAUGUCCUUACAAGAGAGAGGCAGAGGGCCAUUUAAACACAGACAGAAGAGGGGUAAACCACACAACCACCAAGGCAGAGGUAAGAGUGAUGUGGCCACAAGUCAAGUGAUGGUGCAGCCACCGGAAGCUGGAAGAGGCAAGGACAGGAUCGUCUCCUAGAGCUUCUGGAGGGAAUGUGGUCCUGCCAACAUCUUAAUUUCAGCCCAGUGAAACUAAUUUUGGACAUCUGGCUGUUGGACUGUGAGAGAAUAAAUUUCUGGGUUUUAAAAAAAUGUUUAUUUAUUUUUGUGGGGGGGAAGGGCAGAGAGAGAGAGGAGAGAGAGAAUCCUAAGCAGACUCCGCGCUGUCAGGGCAGAGCCUGAGGCAGGGCUAGAACUCACGAACUAUGCGAUCAUGACCAGAGCCAAAAUCAAGAAUCCGGCGCUCAACCUACUGAGCGAUCCAGGUGCCCAGGUGUGGUGUUUUAAGCAUCAUGUUUGUGGUCAUUUGUUAUGGCCGUCUUGGGAAACUAAUACAGUCUAUAAGAGUGUAUCUUAUGGAUCUUGGACAAGUCACUUAUAUAUUCUAGUAUAUCAAAAUUAGUGAUUUUCUUCUCUGGAAAUUGUUAAUUGACUUGAUAUUUUUCAUUUGAUAUCUCAUUUGUGAUCCAUUUAUUCUGCUGAGUCCUUUCUGUUCGGGCAAGUAGGGACCAGUAGGGAAGAUGAUCUGCUGAAGAGAUCUCCAGACAUGGGACAAAACAUUUGUGAACAAGUAACCUAGAAGAUUCACUGUUUCAGGAAAGAGAGAGAACAUUCUCUGCUAUAUAUUGAAUAUUUAUCAUUUCACUGUUUUACUUCCCAUUCCAAUUUCAAUGAGGUAGAUAGACCUGUAUUUUAUCAGCAUAAAAUAGUGUUGUACAAGAUAUCAUAGAAUUGGAAUUACACUCUAUGGAAUGGAUGUAGGUAUGAGUUGUAGAUUAUUAUAAUUCUAGAAUGGAGCGGGGGAAAUACAGUCAGGACAUUCUUAUCCUCUUUAGUCAAUAGCAGAAUAUUCUCAGACUUCACCUUCUUCUGCUGUUAUUUGACCAUGAUUCACUGGGCUGGCUCCUGAGUUAUGGGACAGUGUAGUAUAGGUGUCACUGAGGAUAAUGCGGGCCCUCGGGGGAUCUAUUUGUACACAAGUUGUGAUGCCCAGUGAAAUGUUUCAAGAAAAGGUAAUGAAUUUUGGUUUUAGAAAUGGACGAAAUAAACUGCUAGAGAUUUUUUAAAUGUUCUUCAUAAAAGCAAAUUUUUUCUAUUAAAAACCAGAGAAACAUAAUUCUUUUUAUAAUCAUCAACCCCCUCAUAUGACAAUAACUGCUUCGUAAAAAGGGAUGGAACAUAAUCUAGUCAGAAAGCUGGAUGGUUUCCUUUUGCAAAGAAUUUCAGUACAUGCUAUAUGUGUCUGUGUGUUUGUGAAAAUAUAUUGAUAAGCAAGUAUUUUUUGAAAACUUAUAAUUUUACAACAAAAUUGUAAAGUAAAUUUUCAGCUAGAUGUAAAGGAUUCUGUUUUCCCAAGUACCUUCCCAAUGGAAAUGGGAGAACUCUUCAAAAUUGGCUUGAGUCAUUGGUACAGGAAAUCUAUAUUUAAAGCUUAAUUUUGUUUGUGGGUGUAAGGGAGCAAAUUUUGCCACCCCAAGACAUGCCUCUUUGGCAUAUUGACUAUUCUAAGAUGGUUAUUUUUAAGAAACUGCAGAGGCAAGAGAAACUCUGAGAACUGAGUGGAAGUUACAGGAAGUAAGAGACUUUUUACACGUGUAAGAGAAAUCUCCAUUUGUAAAGGUGUCUUCCUUAGUAUCAGGAAGAAGCGUAGACCAACAGAGAAGGCACUCCCAACUCUAAUAACUUCUUUUGCCUUUAACUGGAGGUGAUAUUUAAGAUGAUGGCUUUAGCCAUUUUGGUGAGUUUCUCAAUUUUCCUUGGUCUCUCUCCUGUGUGCAGGAGGUAUUCAGGUUAUUAGACUUUGAUUUUUUUCCCCUGUUAAUCUGUCUCCUGUCAAUUUGAUUCUUAGACCAGCCAGAAUGUUGGAAGGUAGAGUUAAAUUCUUUUCUCCCUUCCAUGGGCAAGGACCUACUUGUUUAUAGUUUCCAUGUGUUCUCUCCCUUCCUUCCACAGUUCAUUCCAAGGCACUGUGACAGAUACCCAUUGAGGCAAAUAAGACAAUGUCUUUACUAAAUGUUUUAUUACGGCCCUUAUAAAUUUUGGAGAUACAAAGCAAUUAUGAGCAAGGUGGACCUGAGAUCAGACUGAGUGGGGAGAAGCUGUUCACUUCAGAAUGGAUCCCCAAAAUGUCUAAUAAAGCCCAAGAAUUAGUUAAAAUUCACAAUGUUGGGAGAUGGGUUACACAUGUGUAACUUUUAUUAGUAAGAUAAACUUUUGAUGAUGAAAAUGCUGAAGAAUGAUUAUAGGCUUUGCUCUGAAGGGUCAAUCUGAGAAUUAACCAGAGAGAUGGCAUAUGAAUUAUGGAUUUUCUUUUCUAGUGAAAUGUCUUUUAUCACAAUUCCCUAAGAAAUUUUGUACCGUGCAUAUUGAAGAGGAUGAGAACUAAUUUAAUAAUUUACUCUGUUGUUCAUUUAUUUAUUUAUUUUUUGGCUAAAAGAAAAUACCUUGUUUUCUUGUACAAUGAAUUCAAUACAAUGACCAUAUAUGACCAGUCAAAAAAGUGUGUCAGAAUAGCAUGCUACGGAUAUGCACUUUAUGUGAUCAGUAUUUCUAAACAGGUAUAGAUAAAAUUCUGUUCAUGGGAAGAAUAAUGAAAGCAGAAGGAAUUUUUUGUUAUUCAAAAUGUUCUAAUCUAUAGAGAGAGUGUGCACUCUUUACCUGAGGAAAUACAUACUGACUUAUCUUAAUAUACUAAAAAUAUAAGAAGAUGGAUAGUGAAAUCUCAUCUAAAGUUCGCUAAGCUAAAGUAAUUAAGUAGUUGAUUGGGUUGUGGAAAGAGAUUAAAAAAAAGGGAAAGAGCAAAGCAAUUUCUUUGAAUUUGAGGUAAAAUGGCUUUUAUGUUCAGAGAAGUAAUGUGGGUACAAGGUCUGUGUGUGGAGGAGAGGAAAAAAGGUUGUGGGGAAGGUGAGAAAUCUCAGGAGUUUUACAAUCAGACAUAAGUGUCUCCUUACAACCGUCCGGAGGUCCUGCCUUUGCUACAUGCCGUGAGUCCUGUUCAAUUCUGAUUUCACACAGUUUUGAAUCCUUGGCACUGGCCCCUCCCAGCUCCCACGCUCCGUCAGAAGUUGAGGCUGUCUAAGAACCAGGCUGCUGGAGCUGAGAUGCUCGACUGAUUGUCAACCACAGAAGGUGUGACAGAGUGAAAAACCGGGAUUUCCACACGGGAGACCUAGUGUUGAAUCCUGGCAGCUGACACUUAUUAAAUCUAUGCCCUUGACUGCACUGACCUGGGCUGAAGAAGUGAGAUCAGUUCAAAUUUGGAUGUUGGCACAGGGCUGCCAACAUGGGCCCCAGGCAGACGUUCAGAUUUUGUUUUGGUGGCGACUGUUCGGUACACCUUCAUGGAUUCUUCCAUGAGCCUAUUUGCUGCCUUCAGAGACCAAGAAAACUGAGAUCCACAGGUCCCACCCGGACUGGUUAUGGCCACGAAACUGGGAGGCAGAGGAAGAGCCUGAAGACACUGUACUGAAAGCUACACCCAAGCCUGCAAUGCUGCCACUGGCCAUGGGGAACAGCUGCUGCAACGUCAACUUCUGCAGCCAGCUAUUAGGGAAGGGGAAUCUUGGAGUUCAGUCAGAACAGAACCAGUGGGCCAUCUGGAGGGCCACAAGGCAGGGCGGUCACGCUGAUGAAGAAGAGAGACGUUCCUGCUUGUGGGGUCUCCCUGGAGGGGGUGAAGACAAUUGGAAGAUUCCUGUGGGUGUCUAUGUUACCACUUACUAGGUAUGUGAUUUCAGGUAGGUGUAGAAUGGUGUAUAUAGUACCUUUUAGGACAGUAUCAUAGGAUGUUUAUGAGAAUCGAGUGUGAUAACUGUUGCAAAAUAAAUCAAGCAAUAUACAAAUGUGGUUCUACUAUGAAAUAUCAAACGGAGAGAGAAAAGAAAUUGGAAGAAGUUUGAACCAUGGAAACUUUCCCUUUAACAAAGAACAGGCAUAAAGGGAACAAAAGGGAUAAGACUAGAAAACUGACAAAGGGGGGGUGGGUAUGGAAAAAUGAGAGGAAGUAAUACAUGGGAAAUAUAAACUAGUUGUAUUAAAAAUAUUUUUCAGAUUUUACCUAGUUAAAUAUAUUAAAUUCACAGGUCUUAUUCCAGCAUGAUUUCCUUCAAAAUUUGGGUAAAAAGAACAUUAAAAAAAGAAAAAAAAAACCUCUUUAAUUUUUGUAUUCAAAUUCUAAGGGAGUUUAUUUCUAGUUUAAAGAAAGAAGAAUCAGUUCUACAAAAAUAGUCCGCAUUUGUGGUUUAUCCCCAGCCAGUGUUUGUGGCAACUUUGCUCAAAAAGAUCUGUUUGCUCUGAACUUGGAGAAAGGGCGAGUGGUGUCACAGUAGAAUGAUUCUACCCUGUUGACCACAGAUUUGUAGUCGUGCAUGGGAGCACACAUUCUGGCUAAGAUUUGACACCAACGCUUCACAUUUAGAAAGAAAAAGUCUUGCUGUUUGAGAUCCCUGGUUUUGUUCCAGGAAGAGAGGCAAGAUUAAAGGCUUUGUGGAUGCAAGAACAAACAUAAGCUAAGAAUCUGGCAAAUACUGGACAGGAUAUUUUCAAAGGAAAUAGGAUACUUUUUUUUCAAUUUUUAUGAUUCUGCCAGUCACAUUUUGGUUGAAAAUCUAAUCUUGUUUCAAGGAUAAAAGGAUAAAUUGAUACCCUCUCGGCAACAAGCAAAGUGUUUAAAGGCAACACUAUUUGAUUAUUUUUACUCUGACAUGUAGAGAAACUGUCAUUUUAAUCAAUAAAAUUAAUUAGAAUGGCAUUGUAUUUGAAGCUUUCGUAAAAGCAAAAAAACAUGUUUGUGAGUAGUUCUGCUGACAUUUACCCAAUCACCUCUCUUCUUUGGUCGUCAGCAUUUUGGUUAGUGCUUUAUAGUCCUCUUGAUUUAAACUCUCAUCAUGAUCUACUCCGAUUCAGUCAUGAAUCUCAAAAUAUGUUGCUGAAAUAAAACCUUUGAUAUUUAGGGCGGUUUUUAAUGAUUUGUCUUCUUCUGGAUUGACCAAUUUUAAAGGAAAAAAUGCUGACUCAUAUUCAUGCUUUCCAUGCAUACAUUAUUUUAUGACACGUCGUCUCAGAGCAUGAGGUAUUUCUUCUCAGAGCGAAAAUUUGGAGGAACAUAGGUGCCAGGGCCAAAGCAUCUAUAAGUGGACUGUCUACAAGGGAACACGUUAUCGUAAAUUAAUGCUGCAAUCAAGAAGAAAGGUAGAUAAACCCUUUUUAUAUUGUCACCAUAGGGAGGAAAAGGACAAAUGAAUACUUAUUGCUUUUAUCUUUUCUUACAUCUCACCAGAAAAAGACUUUUCCGGCCACAGCAUCUUUGCCAAAUUAAUCUCCAGAGGGACACUACCAUUCAAUCGAAUCUUUGCAAGAUUUUACCAUGGUCUUCUAAAAAGAAAAAUCACUCAGUGUGAUACGCUUUAUUAUUUAUCUUGGAUAAUUCCAGGAAUAGUUCAUAAAAUAUUUUGGUCAGCAAGUGUUCCAGAUCCAGUGUUGGAGAUUAAGUUGUCAAAUUAAGACAGAGAGGUUAUAGGUGUACCUGGGUGGCUCAGUCGGUUAAGCGUCUGACUUCGGCCCAGGUCACAAUCUCUUGGUUUGUGGGUUUAAGCCCCGAACUGGGCUCUGUGCUGACAGCUCAGAGCCUGGAGCCUGCUUCGGAUUCUGUGUCUCCCUCUCUCUCUGCCCCUUCCCUGCUCGUGCUCUGUCUCUCUCUCUCAAAAAUAAAUAAACAUUAAAAAAAAAGAUAGGUUAUAGAAUCCUUGUCUGUGAUGGUUUAACCAUUACUAUGUCAAGCUGAAAAGUAGCUUUAUGUUAAUGCAUGUAUUUCAGAGAAUGAAACAUGAAAUAACUAUAGUUGUACUUAUUCUCAGCUUUCUUAUUUUAAAGUGAGAGGGUUAUCUUUGAUGGAAAAAUUUUAAAUAAUUGAAUUAAUCUUUGAAACAUGAAGUAAAAAGGUAUGAUUUUUCCCCCCUAUAACACACAUGUUAACUGUUUCUUUGGUGUAUUUUGUUCUGUUAAAAAGAUAUGUUUUCAUUUGAUCUGGCUUUUUUUCUUUUUUUGCCACAGUUUUUUCCCUAAAUUUUUGAAGUCAAUAGAAAAGAUACCCACUCUCUCCCAAAAAUUUCAGUGUGAGAAAAGUAUUGGCAUACUUUUAUGCUAGCUGGAAAUAAAGGGAUCCAUAGCAUCUGAGUCACUUUGGGAUUUAGAAGAAAGAAACAAAAAGGGUGCGUGUGUGUGUGUGUGUGUGUGUGUGUGUGUGUGUGUGUGUGUGUGUUUUCUCCUUUCUUCCUCAUUAUUUUGCACAAUUUUGACUUACAAUUUUAAAACUGAAACUCAUGUCAAACAUCAAUAUCAAACAUUGUCUUGUUAAAGUUUAUGAGACCUCAACAAUUACAUUAAUUAAUUUUUUUAGAGAUUUUUGUAGUUUCAAUUAAAGGUCCCAAUUUCUGUGUACAAAGAUGAAUAAAAAUUGAUUCUCAGAAAAUGAAUAAUAAACCCAACUGCAAGUUUAAAAGAGGGGCCCACCUAGGAAGACAAAUAUAAAAAGUGUUUAGUUAAAAAUUAAUUUCCUGCCAAGAAUUCUGUUUCUUCCAGAACUGUUGAUGAAGAUUCGUGCUCUCCAUGGUAAAUUAGUGGAUGGUGACACUGAUCUGACCUUAACAGAAUAUGUGUCAUUUUUUUCUUCUGCCAUUACUCUCUUUCUCUCUGUCUUUUUUUUAAGUUUAUUUAUUUAUUUUGAAAGAGACAGAGACAGUGUGAGUGGUGGAGGGGCAGAGAGAGAGGGAGACGGAGAAUCCCAAGCAGGUCUGCACUAUUAGCAUGGAGCCCAAUGCGGGGCUGGAAUCCAUGAAACUGUGAGAUCAUGACCUGAGCCAAAACCAAGAAUGGGCCACUUAACCAACUUGAGCCAUCCAGGUGCCUCUCUUCUGCCAUUUCUCUUUAGUUGUAUGUAUCACAACUUUUAAUGGGUUGUAAAUAGCUUUCUAAACUAAUGAAAUAAAUAUGUGUCAAGUGUAAUUUUUUUUCUGUUUUAAGUUUUAAUAGUUAUCCCCUGAGUUCAUUUUUUGCCAUGCUUAAAGGUAACUUUGGGAUGGGUUCGAUUUCAUUAAUGUUGAGAUAUAGAUCCCUGAAAACUCAUGCUGUGGUAUCAUAUCACCCAGAAUGGUACUAUUCCUAUCAGGGAAUUAUGCUUCAUAACUUUUCUUGGUGAAGUUACAUUUGUAUUUAUAGAAUCAACCAGAAAAUUUACACUGAGGAUUCCUUUUAUCUCCUCAUCCUCAACUUUAGAAAUGGAAGAAUUAAAGACAGUUCAGGUUUCUUUUUUCUGCUCCGUGUCUAAUUGAUUGUCCUCAAUAAGUUAGCUCCCCAACCAUUCUAAGAGGGGUUCCACUUUGCCAUGUGGCUUUGGUCCUUCUGGUCCAGAUCUACUUGAAUGACACAGCUUCUAAGGGUUUCGACCUACUUUUCUCUGACAGCUUUCCCCUCGUCUCCCCCUUCAAGUCCUUCAACAGCCAUAAUUAUGCAUUUUGUCAUUUUCCACACUUCAUCACUGAAAUCUCACAUCCAGAGUUCCUCUUUCUGGACAUAACCUCCACCAAAGAGCUUCUAGCACUUUGUUUUGUUAGGCUUUCCACAUUCUCGAUUCCUCUACAUUUUCUUGGUCUCUCAUCCACAUUCUAUAUUCAGUUCUUUCCCCAUCACCCCAGUCUCUCUUUUGAGACCGUCAGCUCUUGUUCCCAUGUCCUUCUCUCAUGUCUGCUUGGCAAAACAUCAAGCCUGGGUGAAUCCAACCAUUGGUCUUCUACACCAGAGUCUUUCUGACUAGAAAAUCGACCCGCUAGCAGAUUGGUGCCACUGAAGGCUUAAUGGAUUCACCUGGGUUUUCAGUGCUUCCUGGCCUUGACUCCUUGUUACACCCAGGAACAUGGCCUGUUAUCUUCAUUUAUAUGAGACUCCUUUUAUACCUCGUCAAAAGAAAUGGAAGCUUGCUUUAUUUAUACGUGCGUUUGCCUAUUUCUUCUUUAAGCUUCUCUUUAGCAUCAGCAGCCCAAAUCGUGAUGUCAAAAGACCCAUGGUAAAUCUGGGCCAAUUCUCCAAUGUGGUGGGAGGUCUUUGGGCUGGAGAACUGGUACUGAAAGUCUAGUGGACGGUGGCCAGAGGGUGUUCCGAGGUCUCUCUAGUUUAUGGCAGGGUCUCAAGUGGUAACUGAUCUGGAAGUGGGCUGGGAAAGUUGUCAGGCCUCAGUUAAGUGUCUGGGCAUAGGGAAGACCCUCAGUCUCAGUAAUGGGGUGGAAGGUGCAGUCAGAAACCGAGUUAGAAGGCCACGCAUCGUGUGCUCAGAGGUGUGGGAAAGAGUUAAGUAUCAGAGAAGGGCCCAUCCCAGCUCCGGUUCCCAGAGGUCACCCAGGCACAUUAGAUAUUGGUUGUUUUACCACAGGAUUGAUUUCAGAUCUUACCUACUGCCUCCUUUGUCAAGAGUGGUUUGGAAAAAUGGGUGGAGCUGAGUGUACAGGUGGGUGGGGCUGGUGAAAGUUUAGGGCGACAGUGAUGGAGUCUUACCAGAGAUGAAGCAAAAGAGGUAAAUUAGGGUCAGCCUGUAAAAGGCUUUGCCUAAAGAUGAAGAAUCAUAUUAAAUGGAAACUGAACAAAUGGGAAAGGGUCAACUCUAAUGUUUCUGUUUUCAUAAUAUUAUUUCGUUUAUAUAAAAGGGAUGGGAGGAAACUUUUAAACCAAAGAAUCAACAUUUGGUUUGCCAUGUGAGGAUUGUACACCUUAUGGACAUUUUAUUUAUUUAUUUAUUUUCAUUUUUAUUUUUCGCCUUAUGGACAUUUUAGACCUGGAUGUAGUUUUUCGGUCUGUGGCCUCCUGGCUCUGUCUUCUGUAUGUUAAUCUUCUGGUUUCAGUACAUUCAGGGAAAAUAAACUGAUUUUAGUAUUAGCCUAAUCAAAGUUACAGGAAGGCAGAUCGGUUGUAAUAACAUAAUAUGGUAUAAUCCAAGGCUUAAUAUAUUUGUAUCCUGCUGUAGGCAGCUAUAAUAUGUUAGUAGAUAUUUACAUAAAAAAAUCAAAUGGAGGAUAGUUAUCUGCUUUACAAAAUGUUCAUUAUAAUAUUUCUGUUAAAAAAAACAAACCCUAAUUUCCUCUGGGCAUUUAAAAUCUGAUUUGGUGUACUAAGAUUCCAUGUGCACACACAUUUGUCCUGAUUAAUAAUAAAGUAGGGUUGAUUAAUCAGGAUAAACAGACAGUUUUGAGUUUAGGCUUAAGAUGUCAAUAUAAGGAUAGAGCUCAGUGCUCUGGCUUUUCAGCAAAUCAAGAGGCUAGUUUUACUAGCUGAAAGCUAAGUACAAGGCAAUAGGGUAACAUGGACGUCCAAAAAUGGGCAUGUGAUCUGAGCCUCAGUUUACCAGAAAUCAGGAUCCAGAAGAGAUGGUCAAAUAUGCCACACAGACCACACCUGGGGACACCCUGCCCCAUUUUUCCAAGGGACCUGACAGACUUAGUGCCUGUAAAGGCAGGUGUUGGAGACAGUAGAGGUACUGGGGCCCCAUCAAAAUCGUAAAGGAUGAGGAUAUAGAGGAUGCUCAGCUUGAAGAAAAGAAGGCAGAAAAGGCAGUGACAGCCCCUUAAAGAGUGUGAUGUGUUGUGAUGUGUUGCCGUUUGGAAGCUGGCUUGGGGUGAUCUGCUAUUGUUUUAGGUUUAGGAUUCGAGGUGGGAAUUACAGAGAGGCAGUGUCCUCUUCCUCACAGUGUGUCAAAGGUUCCUUUGUUUUUAGAGGACUGUUUUUUUAUUAAAUAUAAUUUAUUGUCAAAUUGGUUUCCAUACAACGCCCAGUGCUCAUCCUAACAAGUGCCCUCCUCAAUGCCCAUCACCUGCUUUCCCCUCUCCCCCAUCAACCCUCAGUUUGUUCUCAGUAUUUAAGAGUCUCUUCUGGUUUGCCUCCCUCCCUCUCUGUAACUUGUUUUUAGAGGAUUUUUGUGUGAGAGAAGAGAUUAGUUUGGAUAAGAGGUUGGUCUGGAGGCUUCAAUGGUUCCUUCCACUGACUGAUGAGUUUAAAUUUGUCCCGUCAGGUAAACUACUCAGAUGUUAUUAUUUGUUAUUUGUACUUACAUAUCACUUAUGAUGUAUCCAGAACUGUUCUAAACACUGUAUAAAUAUCAACCAUUUCACUUAUUUUAACAACCCUGUAAGUUAGUUAUUACCCACUUUUUAUAGAUAUGGAUAGUGAGGCCCAGAGAUGUUAAGUUAGUUACACAGAAAGAGUAACACAGCAAGAGCCAGAUCCCCACCCAAGCUCUCUGCCUCUUUAUUUUAGGAAUAUGUAUCUUGGGGAUUAUAUUAUACUUGAAUUAUAUAUGUGGUGGCUCUACUCCCAGUAUAUUAUUGAGCUGUUGCCUGAAAAUGACUUUUAUGUUUAUUAUUAUUAUAAUUUAAAGUUUUUUUUUUAAUUAAAAAAUUUUUUUUCAUGUUUAUUCAUUUUUGAGAGACAGAGAGACACAGAGUGCAAGUGGGGGAGGGGCAGAGAGAGAUAGAGACACAGAAUCCCAAGCAGGCUCCAGGCUCUCAGAGCCUGACAUGGGUCUUGAACCCAAGAACCAUGAGAUCAUGACCUGAGCCAAAGUCGGACGCUUAACCCACUGAGCCACCCAGAUGCCCCUAAAGUUUUUCUUAUCUGGGAAGAGUUUCUGAUUCACCUUGAUUCACAUAUGCACGUUUUGUUAGAAAACAAAUACAUUGUUUUGUGUCCCCUGUGGCAUAAAUCAUUUUCAAACAGUCAUUUGGAUGAUUUGAAUACUUUAUCAGUAUUCAGUAUCAGCCUUUUCCCCCCUUCCCCCAUUUGUAAAUUCUAGUGAAUUAAAAGAAAAAAACGUUUCUCCCAAUUACUUCCUUCACAAUCUAUGUAAUUUAUUUACAAUCACAGGAUCCUAUGUUACACCUCCAUGACUUGGAAGAACUAGUUAUUUCUAAAUUUUAACUCCCUGUCAGGGGUAAUCUCAGUGCUAGAGGGUAUAUGGCUUAUUAAACGAAGAAUGGUGUUUGCUGUUCCUUGGGCUCACAACCUCAAAAGCCUCAUCUGUUGGUAGACAGCUGUAAUACACCCAUAACAGCCUUCCGAGUGUUUAUGUUUAGUUCAUGGAGCAGAAAAUAUGACAGGUUCUGUAUCUUUCAAAGCAUCUCCCUCUGAACGCUAGUUAAUCCCCUGGCUUUCAAAGGCCAACAAAAUUUAUCUUUCUGCCGGCAGCAAGAAUAUAGUUUCUUUUUUUUUUUUCCCCAGUCUUAUCUAGACGCUAUUUACUGACACUAUUGCUUAGCCACGAUCACUACAAUUUUUUAUAUGGUAUUCAACAGACAAACCUAUGUUUCCAGACUAUGAACUAAUUUUAUGAAGAAAAAUUUAUCAAUCGCUUCGUCUGGGUUCUGGUUCGUUCGUUCAUUCGUUCUUUCUCUCUUUUUCUCUCUCCUUUUCUUUUUUUAUUGAACUGGUUGAAUAAUUUUAGGUCUGAAGAAGUGCCACCUUAAAUAAGUCCAUAGACAAUUUAAUACUAGUUUAAUAAUAUAUUAAUUUCAGUGAGCAAUUUGAUUGUCUAAAUAACAAUAACAUGAAAGGACGAUUGGAAACGCUCCUCCAAAACACCAUUCACAAGCUGUGCAGAUUUUAUCAAUUUUACUGUGUCUAUAGCUGUAAUAGACUUUAGCAGAGAGCAGGAAGGGACUGAGGAUUCGCUAGGCAGGAGGGCCUUUUGAAAACCACCGGGGACUGAAAAAACCAGCCACUGUAGUAAAACUGAUAUGGUAGAGGGAGAAGUGAUGGGGAGAUGUGUGCCUCCCUCCUAGGUAACACUGUGAUGUUCACGUCAAGGGUAACGAGUGCAGCAGUAACAGGUACAUCGGUUCCAGAAUGUGGCUUUGUGGAAGGCCGGAAGUAGACAGUCUACAGAGUGGGUGGCAGGAAGUAGGGCAGUAUCUGAGGAUGGAAGGGAGGAGAACUGGAAGGAAGGGCUUCCUGGAUAUUUCCAGGAUUCAGCACAUGCUGGCCCAAGAGGAAAGCUGAACAUGUAGAAGCACCAGCACCAAAGACCUGUUUUACUAUAGGAAAAGAAUUUGCCACCUGUUAGUGGCAAUGGCUGAAUCUGAUUGGUGCAGACUGACACCUCUCCGUUAGUCUCGAGCAAUGCAGAGUCUGUACAUGUAUCAGUCAGGGAUACCUUUGGCUAUGUGUAUUAGAAAAUCUGAAUAUUCUGUCUUAAUUGUAAAGGUUUAUUUUUCACACACAGAGAAGAAUCUGUAGGUGAGUUGUUGCUGGCACUGGUUCAGGGGCCCGACCAUGUUAGUACUGAUGUCUUUGAUUCUUUUGGGAUUUCCUUCACUGGCCAAGAAAAAUUCCUGCAGCCCAGCCAUCAUUUCAGCAGGAAGAAGGGAGAAGCCCUUUCCCACUGCAUUGUGUCAUGUGGACAUUCCAAGCUGGGAGAGGACCCCGGGAAGAGGGCAUCUGCUUCAUCGUUCUUUCCUGCUAACUAAUCUUUGACAUAAAAUCUCUUGAGAUGAGUUUUCUUUCUUUCUUUCUUUCUUUUUUUUUCUUGUGUAUUCCAAACACUCCUCGAAGUGCUGGAAAAGGAGGGGGUGUGUAAAUAUGAAAUAUCCUGUGAUAGUCCAUGACACUUUUUUCUGAGAAUUAGUGAGAUUAAUAGACUGUGGUGCCUUAUAAUGAUGAUGAUGAUGAUGAUGAUGAUGAUGAUGAUGAUGAUGGGACUAAUAAUACCUAAUGCAUGCAGCUUCCUAUGUGCUGAGCUCUAAUUAAAUGCUGUAUAUAAAUUACUUUUAAAAAAACUUGCCACCAACACUAUGAGAUAGAAACAGGCAUUAUUGUUCCCAUUUUACACACCGGGUAACUGGGACCUUUAAACAGCCAUCUAGCUGGUGAGCGGGGAAACCAACAGUCACGCUCUGCAGUCUGGCUCCAGGGCUCAUGCUAUUUACCACUUGCUUUUUAUCUUUCUUAAGUAUCACACCUACCUCUUUAACAUUAUUCUGAGUUUAGUCAUCACUGUUAUUUAUCCUAAUGAUUACUUAAUGCCACAGUCCUGAAAAGAUGAAAAACAACAUAAAUAUGCACAUUUGCCCCAUCUCCAAAAAGUAGAAUCACUGCUAGAAAAAUAAAUACCCUCACAGGUGAGACGGGAGGAUGAGAUGUUGUACCCAUGUUCCGGGAGGUUGGCAAAAGAGGGCUGUGUUCGUUCAGUUUCACCCAUUUUGAAAAGUCUGGCCUAUAAUAGGAGCCAUCAGUAUGUGAGGUUCAGGUUGGAGACAUGACAUAUUUUAAAGGCAGGCAAUUGAAUGAUUUCAGCUUAUGUGUAACUUUGGAUAUAAUUUAUUUUGUCACCUGCAGGAGCCAAACAGAAUUACUUCCUGCUGGUGUUUUUCUUCUGUGCUAAUGGUUUUGAAAAUCUAGACUAAACAAUUUACUUUUUAUACAGAGGCAAAAUUUCACAAAAUGCCAACAUUCAAAUCAACCAGCUUCUCACCUAUCAAGAUGGAUAAAAAUCUGUAUGGGUGGUGUGUGUGUGUGUGUGUGUGUGUGUGUGUGUGUGUGUGUGUGUUUCUAAGUAUAAAGCAAAUAACUCAAGCGGUUGGUUGCAAAUAAAAAAAAAAACCUAAGUAUUUUAAAUUAAAACACUAAGAAUAAGAAAUAAUAAACAUACACAUAUGCCUGACGUGAGCAAUAAUUGGAGAAGGAGUGUAGUUUGCUGAAAAGAGAUGUUAGCUAAGGCUGAGAAGAAUCAGGCUCCUGUCCUCAGUUCUUCUUUAAUUCUAUGGCUCUUUUUAUUUUAUUACCAUACCUUGAUAACACUGUGGUAUUGCCCUGCAGUAUGGGUUAGUACCUGCAGAAGGACAGGCCUGUAUCAUAGGUCCAUUGUUUUGUUGGCCGUUUUUAGAACUGGAAAGUAGAAUCUGGGCUAGAAGGGAUCUAUCUCAGAUCAUUUUCUCCAUUAUCCAUCUAUAGAGAUGGUCCAAGAAAUUUUUGAAUCCAUGUCUCGUAGCCAUGUUGACAAGGAUUCUAUGGCACUUAAUGUAUCAGGUUGACGUAGGAUCUAAGCUGGUCUUACUUUUCGCAUUAGAUCUUGGAAAGUGCAGGAAGUCUUUCAAGCCUCGCCAUUCUCCAUUUUGCCCUUAGGAUAAAGUCCAAGGUCUUUUGAACCCAAGCUUAUCAGCUACCAAGUGGUCACUGCCCCUGUGAAGGGAACCUCCUCACUUUCUGCCUCUUAUAAUGCAGAACUGUCUGAGCUCCUUCCACACACCAUGAUACUGGUUACCUCUUCCCUCUCCUUACGUGCUUCCCCCUGACUGGAAUAUCCAUCCUCAUCUUUCACUCGGUUAAUGCCUUUUCCAACUCUAAGGCUCAGCUUAGGCAUCACCACCUCCAGAGAGCCCUCCUUGAUUGCUUCAGGUUGAGUUAGGCAGCCCUUCCUUGUGUUCCAAUAAUGCCCUCUGUAUUUCUGCUCUAGUACUGUGUGCUCCACAUGGUGUUAAAAUGAUCUGUUUGUGACUCCUCCCACUAAGACUGUGAACAGCUUGCUGGAAGGACCUGUCUUCGUCUGGACUUUAUGAAAAAGAAAUAAAAAAAAAAAAAAACUGGACUCUGAAAAAAAAAAAGAAAAUUAAAACACCCCUGAAUUUUCCUGCCGCAAUGUAUGGGGUCAUUCUGUGGAGGAGUGGAAUGAAGUGAGUUUCAGGACUGCCUGUACCCUGGUGGAAACACUAUAUUCAGAAGCCUUGUAUACUUUUAUUUUCACAUCACGGGCCUGGGGGUUGGUCACCAGUGCAUUUUGGUCAAUGGCGGCUAUUGGUAGCUAAAGGACUAUAUUUCGUUAGAUGUCGUUAGCAGCAACGAUAUAAAAUAUGUCUACUUACAUUGUUAGCUGAUACCUGAUAAUUGUGUUCUCUUGCUUUCAUUUUUUGAUAUUUACUUUCUCAAGUUAUUUAAAAUAGUCCAGUAUCUAUUUAUACAGCAUGUUAUUCUGCAACUCCUGUGUUCAGCAUAUUGGGAGUUUUAAUACCAGCCAAGCUUAGAUGUUGUAAAUUUUUUACUAGUUUCUAGACUCAGAUUUAUAGGUUUUAUAUAUCAUGUAGUGUGCCAUCAGAGAUCUAAGUCAAAGCCAAACACCAAAUAUUUGUUGAAUCUAUUAGUGCGAAGUCCCAUGGCAGGUACAAAGGUGGGUAAGUGAUGGACUAGUGGGGGAGACAAGGCAGAAGUGCUUGGAAAGUUAAGGGCAAAAGAAAGGUUGAAUAAUAAAACAGGAAUAGCCGCGAUGUUGGAUGAAUGUGUAGCUAGACAAGUGCUAUAAAAUUAGAGGCAGGCAAGAACCCUAGGGCUGGGGAUAUCUGCGAACAUUUUGGAGAAGAGCGGCCCAAUGGGGACUUUGAGAAAUGAGAAUGCUGCUUUUUAGGCAAAAAGAAGAGAAAGGGCU